rnacentral:tRNA from 1 species
UGCCCGGUGGUGUAAUGGUAGCACACCGCCCUUUGGAGGCGUGGGACAUGGUUCGAAUCCAUGCCGGGCAG